UCCACUGAAGUACCUCUGGUUGAAAAGGAGAACAGAGACUUUUUUCACAGCCACAGGACAAAAUUUGUUCAGAAUUAAAUGCUGAAAAAGGAGAACCUGACACCAUUAUUCAUAAUUUCACUGUAUAUGAAGAGCAACCCUAUACUCCAUACAAACAACAUAGACUGUGGAAUUAUGUUGUGAAAUGUAAAGAGAAGAUGAUUCCCAAAUUUAAAGGAAACUGGAGGUGUUCUGGAGAAACAAAUAGAGGCUGGAGUGCCGUGGCACAAUUAUGGUUCACCAGCCUCAACCUCCUGGGAUCAAGCAAUCGUCUCACCUCAGCCUCCUGAGUAGCUGGACUGCAGGU
rnacentral:lncRNA from 1 species